ensembl:lncRNA
UUACUCCCAGAAAGUCUGAAUUCGUUUUUACUGUGCUGAUCCUGACUGGGUCUCCUCACAUGUUUGAGCAUUGGCUGGAUGGUCUAGGUUGGCCUUGGCUGGGACAGCUGGGCUCUCUCUCUCUCUUCCACAAGGUCUCCCAUCCUCCAGUGCUGGAGAAGUUGAACAUUUCUAUGCAAAAAAUCUGAAGCUCUAUACCUCACACUUUAUACACAAAUUACCUUGAAAUGGAUCAAAAACUAAAAGGUGAAACAUAAAACUAUUAGGCUUUUAGAAGAAAACAUAGGAGAAUUCUUUAUGAGUUUGGGUUAGGAAAAUAGAGCACAUACACAUUACCUUUUGUGAAAAGGGAAGGUUGAUGAAGAGGGCAGAACCAAGGGUUCAGAGAGGGGAGUCAAGAACCACAGAGGUUACUCCCAGGCUGAGACCUCGUCAAGGAACUUGCAACUGAACUGCCAUUUGCCUGACUGGAUUUUAUUUUAUUUUAUUUUUCAUUUUUUAUUUUUUUGAGGAAGAUUAGCCCUAAGCUAACAUCUGCUGCCAAUCUUCCUCUUUUUGCUGAGGAAGACUGGCCCUGAGCUAACAUCCAUGCCCAUCUUCCUCUACUUUAUAUGUGCGUACUUAACCACUGUGCCAUGGGGCUGGCCCGCCUGACUGGAUUUUAGAACUGCCGUGGACCACUGAAUCCUUCAGCCCUCCUGUUUUCCCUCUUUCUGAACAGGAAUAUCUGGAGCAGUUAUCCGACGCCUGUGCAUCAUUUAUGUGGGGGGGGAGGGGGGCAAUAACCCAUUUCUUCAAUUUUACAGUUCACAAGAACUAAACUGGGGCCGCCCGGUGGCACAGCGGUUGAGUUCACAUGUUCUACUUCUCGGCGGCCCGGGGUUCACCAGUUUGGAUCCAGGUGCAGACAUGGCACCACUUGGCACGCCAUGCUGUGGUAGGCAUCCCACAUAUAAAGCAGAGGAAGAUGGGCACGGACGUUAGCUCAGGGCCAGUCUUCCUCAGCAAAAAGAGGAGGAUUGGCAGCAAUUAGCUCAGGGCUAGUCUUCCUCAAAAAAAAAAAAAAAAAGAACUAAACUCAACGAGCUGAUCUUAAGGAUCUGCACGUGAGGAGCUCUCCUCUCCUGGACCGGACUUAGAUGACAAGAUUCUGGACUUCAAGCUGGUGCAGUGAUGAAUAAGUCUCUUGAGGGCCCUUGAGGAGUACAUGAGUGUAUUUUGCUCAUAGGAGGAAUAUAAUUUGUCACCAGGGUGGACUGUAGUGGCUUCAAAGAUAUGUCUACAAAUUCUGCAAUACGCCUCCCUUCCAGAGGUGGAGCUUAAUUCCCCUCACCUUGAGUGUGGAUGGACUUGCCGACCCACUUCUGAUGAAUAGAAUAUGGCGGAAGUGGGCAGCCAGCUGCCGUAUCAUAAGGACACUCAGGAAGCCUAUGGAGAGGAGUUAAGGCAUGCCAGCCCCUGUGUGAGUCACCUUGAAAGCAGAUUUUCGAAGGCCAGCUAACCACCACGAGUGACCUUGGCAGCAGACCGUCGCUCGGUCAAGCCUUGCGAUGACUGCAGCCCUGACAGACAGCUUGACUGCAACCUCCUGAGGGUCAGAAGGACCCAGCGAAGCUGCUUCCAGUUUCCUGGCCCCCAGAAACUGUGCGAUAAUAAAUGCUUUUGUUUUAAACCACUAAAUUUGGGAUAAUUGUUACUCAGUAAUAGAUAACUAAUACAGA